AGGCUGAAACUCGCCUCUUUGAAGUCGGAAUCGCUAGUAGUCGCAGAUCAGCAUGUUGCGGUGAAUACGUUUCCUGGUCUUGUACACACCGCCCGUCAAACCAUGAGAGUCGCCAACACCCGAAGUCCGCUUUGCGGCCUAAGGUGGGGGAGAUGAUUGGGGUUAAGUCGUAACAAGGUACC
rnacentral:rRNA from 1 species